rnacentral:misc_RNA from 1 species
GAUGAAGAACGUAGCGAAAUGCGAUAAGUAAUGUGAAUUGCAGAAUUCAGUGAAUCAUCGAAUCUUUGAACGCACAUUGCGCCCGCCAGUAUUCUGGCGGGCAUGCCUGUUCGAGCGUCAUUUCAACCAUCAAGCCCCCGGCUUGUGUUGGGGACCUGCGGCUGCCGCAGGCCCUGAAAACCAGUGGCGGGCUCGCUAGUCACUCCGAGCGUAGUAAUACAUCCCGCUCAGGGCGUGCUGCGGGUUCCGGCCGUUAAAAAGCCUUAUUUACCCAAGGUUGACCUCGGAUCAGGUAGGAAGACCCGCUGAACUUAAGCAUAUCAAUAAGCGGAGGA